GUCGCUUUACGCUCUACUGUCAGACGUGUCGGCAAAAUUGUGUAAGUGGGCUUUGUACAUUGUAACUAACGAAAUGUCUUGACAAGAAUACAAAUAAAGUAGCGUGGUGCAGAAGAUGGGCUUUAUGCAGCAGCAGAUCCCACACAUACUGGUGAGCAGAGAAGCCAGACAACACAUACAUGUGGGUGCUGUUACGGCAGACUGCAAGGAACAGGUGCGCUCAGUGGUGUGAAGAAGCCUAGGGUACUGGUGGGCUGACGAGGGUUGAUGCCUAAAGAAAGAACAACUACAAUAUGAACUCCAGAUAUGUGGACAGUCAGAAGUCAUGGAGC